ACCUUUUGAAUUGAAGAGGCAAGAAAACUACAUACUACAUUUCUGAUACCCUUUUUUGCAGAAAGGAUACUUGAUACUUCAUUUAAAGCUGAGAGUUGUGUCUGUAUCUUCAAGACUUAGAUUCAGAGCUGAGUUACUUGGCUAUAUGAGGAAGCCUCUUUGCUGAUACAGAUCAUGUAGUGAUGGUGUGCGAAGUCCUAGACAGCAGCAAUUUGAUUCAACAACAUUCUGACAGUGGUGAGAGGCAGAAGCUCUCUUCUCUACACAACUCUAUGGGCUUACAUAUCUGAAAUUCAGUUGAAUUCAGACAAAAUUCAAGUGAUAUAGUGAAACGGAGUUUGUGAUGUCAACUUGCCUAAGCAAGCACACAAGAUAAGCUGACAAGAGGAGCAAGCUAAAGUUCAAGGGCCUGUGUGAAAGAGAGAUGCCUGACUAAUGUUUUGUCAAGAUAAAGCAGAGGGUUGGUGACAGACAAUAGAGGCCAGGACACUUAAGUAAGAAGGUCUACCUUUCCUGUUUUAAAGUCAUGGUUGCAUCUACUUUCAUAAGAACUUAUUGUGUAAUGUUUCUGUCAGUAACCUGGGAAUAAAGAGUGGAGUUUCUCCUGCACUACAAAAAAAAAAAAAAA
rnacentral:lncRNA from 1 species